rnacentral:misc_RNA from 1 species
AAAAAAGUUCUUAUAUAUAGUAACAUCUAAACCAAAAGAUGUAGUAGCAAAAAUUAAAUAUCAUGAAAAAAACUAACUAAUAUCUAUCUAAUUAUCUAAAGCUUAACCUUUUUGGUGCACUUCUGAUCUUGAAUUGACUGGCUAGUAAUAUUCACAGUAAUACUACAAUUCAUCUUCACAACAACAUAUUUCUUGAUCAUAUUCAACAAUUUAACUCUCCCACCAACACUUGUGUAGCUAUUCAUAGUAAGCAAACCACUACUAAUAUCAUCUUGUAAGCCAGGAUGUGACAUAAUCUUAUCCGUCAUAAUAUCAAUAGUUACGUUCAUCCUCAUAGUCUUCCGUGCCUUUGAUUUCCCCGGUGGGCCCCGCGCCUCCCCGAUGACCGCAUCGCGAUAGGAAAUAGUGGUGGUCGUGUUACUAUACUUAAAUGAUGAAUAAUUAGGAUUUUUCACUGAGACAUCAGCUUUUAUGGUCAUGUUGGAACCUGGUUUAGGUAUAGGUAAAAGGGUGCCACUAGUGUUAACGAGGUCUAGUUUUUCAAUUGUGACACCGUUCAUUGUAAUAAUAGGGUCUUUUAUUUUGAACACUGUGAAGAUCAAAAUAAUGAUUAUUAUGGCUACGAGGAAAACAAAGGUUGAUACACAAGCACAAUAUUUGAAACAUCUUCUUUGAUGAAACCUUUUUUUGAUGUUUAACGUUGUAUCGUCGUCAUCGCUACUAUGUGGCCGGUCGGAUGCUGGUGCUAGUGGUCUAACUUGAUCUCUCUCCACCAUUUUUAUUGAGUCUUGAAACUAAGAGGAGGAAUGGUU